UACGUAGGUGGCAAGCGUUGUCCGGAUUUACUGGGCGUAAAGGAUGCGUAGGCGGACAUUUAAGUCAGAUGUGAAAUACCCCGAGCUUAACUUGGGUGCUGCAUUUGAAACUGGGUGUCUAGGAGUGCAGGAGAGGUAAGUGGAAUUCCUAGUGUAGCGGUUGAAAUGCGUAGAGAUUAGGAAGAACACCAGUGGCGAAGGCGACUUACUGGACUGUAACUGACGCUGAGGCAUGAAAGCGUGGGGAGCGAACAGG
rnacentral:rRNA from 1 species